rnacentral:rRNA from 1 species
GGUUGACCUCGGAUCAGGUAGGAAUACCCGCUGAACUUAAGCAUAUCAAUAAGCGGAGGAAAAGAAACCAACAGGGAUUGCCCUAGUAACGGCGAGUGAAGCGGCAACAGCUCAAAUUUGAAAUCUGGCCUCGGCCCGAGUUGUAAUUUGUAGAGGAAGCUUUUGGUGCGGCACCUACUGAGUCCCCUGGAACGGGGCGCCAUAGAGGGUGAGAGCCCCGUAUAGUAGGACGCCUAUCCAUUGUAAAGCUCCUUCGACGAGUCGAGUAGUUUGGGAAUGCUGCUCAAAAUGGGAGGUAAAUUUCUUCUAAAGCUAAAUAUUGGCCAGAGACCGAUAGCGCACAAGUAGAGUGAUCGAAAGAUGAAAAGCACUUUGAAAAGAGGGUUAAACAGCACGUGAAAUUGUUGAAAGGGAAGCGCUUGUGACCAGACAUGCGCCGGGCUGAUCAUCCGGAGUUCUCUCCGGUGCACUCCGCCCGGCUCAGGCCAGCAUCGGUUCUCGCGGGGGGAUAAAGGUCCUGGGAACGUAGCUCCUCCGGGAGUGUUAUAGCCCAGGGCGCAAUGCCCUCGCGGGGACCGAGGAUCGCGCUCUGCAAGGAUGCUGGCGUAAUGGUCACCAGCGACCCGUCUUGAAACACGGACCAAGGAGUCAAGGUUUUGCGCGAGUGUUUGGGUGUAAAACCCGCACGCGUAAUGAAAGUGAACGUAGGUGAGAGCUUCGGCGCAUCAUCGACCGAUCCUGAUGUAUUCGGAUGGAUUUGAGUAGGAGCGUUAAGCCUUGGACCCGAAAGAUGGUGAACUAUGCUUGGAUAGGGUGAAGCCAGAGGAAACUCUGGUGGAGGCUCGCAGCGGUUCUGACGUGCAAAUCGAUCGUCAAAUCUGAGCAUGGGGGCGAAAGACUAAUCGAACCAUCUAGUAGCUGGUUACCGCCGAAGUUUCCCUCAGGAUAGCAGUGUUGUUCUUCAGUUUUAUGAGGUAAAGCGAAUGAUUAGGGACUCGGGGGCGCUAUUUAGCCUUCAUCCAUUCUCAAACUUUAAAUAUGUAAGAAGCCCUUGUUACUUAAUUGAACGUGGGCAUUCGAAUGUACCAACACUAGUGGGCCAUUUUUGGUAAGCAGAACUGGCG